rnacentral:rRNA from 1 species
CCUACGGGUGGCAGCAGUGAGGAAUAUUGGUCAAUGGCCGGAAGGCUGAACCAGCCAUGCCGCGUGAAGGUCAGUGCCCUAUGGGCGUUAAACUUCUUUUGUGCGGGAGCAAUAAUGGUCACGUGUGGCCAGACGAGAGUACCGUACGAAUAAGCAUCGGCUAACUCCGUGCCAGCAGCCGCGGUAAUACGGGGGAUGCAAGCGUUAUCCGGAGUUAUUGGGUUUAAAGGGUGCGUAGGCUGUGAGGUAAGUCAGCGGGGAAAUGCCCCCGCUCAACGGGGUGAAGUGCCAUUGAUACUGCCUUGCUGGAAUGCGGGUGCCGUGGGAGGAAUGUGUGGUGUAGCGUUGAAAUGCAUAGAUAUCACACAGAACACCGAUUGCGAAGGCAUCUCACGAGUCCGCGAUUGACGCUGAGGCACGAAAGCGUGGGUAUCAAACAGGAUUAGAUACCCCGGUAGUC